AUGCAGCCGCACGCUACCAAACGGCCAAAAGAACGCACACCGCACCAUCAAUCAAAGGGGGGGAAAAGCAAACAGAAGCUCCACCGAGGAGACCCUGCCCCCAAGAACAAGAGCAAGAGCAAGAAACCCCACCGCCGAAAGCAGCAGCAGCAGCAGCAGCAGCAGGCGGAGGAAGCCAGCCAAAUCCAAACCGCAGGAGGAGCCGCGGAAGCGCGAGAUCCGGGCGAGAGGAGGCGGUCAACAGACCAAGAAAGGGCCAGGACAGGAGCCAAGAAACGAUCCGCACCUCUUGCAGGGGAGGAGCCGCGCGGGGGGAGGGAGGGAGGGAGGGAGGGAGCCCUACUACACGCGCGCCGCGGGGACGGGGACGGGGGGGAGGCUCCGCUCCAUUGCUUGCUGCCCUCCCGGUGA
rnacentral:rRNA from 1 species